rnacentral:lncRNA from 1 species
CAAGGUCUGCAACCAAUGUGGGUUCAACCCCAACCCUCACCUCACCCAGCGCCCGUGAAUCCUGAUGAUGGGGGUAGUGGCGGUGGUUCUGGGAUGUGGAAUCAGAGGUCAAGAUCUGGCCCCAGGUCUCCUGAGAGAUUCCUGUACCCUGAAAACUGAGAAGGAGCAGGAGCAAUGGCUCAGCAGUUACGAACACCACCUGCUCUUCCAGAGGACUGGGGUCCAUUUCCCAGCACCCACAAAACAAAUCACAAUCAUCUGUAACUCCAGUCCCAGGGACUCCAAUGCCCUCCUCACACAGCGUGUACAGAGACAUUCUUGCAGGAAAACACUCAGAACUCACAAAAAAUAAACCGAACCAAACC